rnacentral:misc_RNA from 1 species
UCUCCCUCAAGCACACAUUGUCUCUCCAAAAGCCCUAUUUAAAUACUCUUUGCCCGCCUAUUUCUCCCAUGCAACUCUUCUCUCCACUACCUCUGAUAUCUACUUCAUCUUCAAACCACUCAUCAUCACUUCUUCCAUAAUAACCUGUCUCUUCUUCACUUUUUUUCUCUACCUUUCCCCUCCUUUUAUACUUCUUCUGAGCCAUCACCUUCUUGAUACCUCACCAGCUUCAGUGUCCUGCCGGGUUUCUUUCUCUUUUCUAAUUAAGCUAUAUAACAGCUUAUACAGUUCUUGACAUAUAAAUUAAG